UGUGAGAGUGAUGAGUUGCACUGUCUAGUCGGAACAUUGGUUGCAGUGGCACCAAUGUCCCGAUCUGACCCUUGUUGGGGACACACCAUGUGCACAGGGGCCAUCUGACCCACC